GGCAAGAUGGCCGAGUUGGUUAUGGCGCCAGGUUAAGGACCAAGGAUAAUCCUUAUAUCUAUCUCCUGGUGGAGCAAUCCUCCUGGGUUCAAGUCCCAGUCUUGUCA
rnacentral:tRNA from 1 species